GACGAACGCUGGCGGCGUGCUUAACACAUGCAAGUCGAACGGAAAGGCCCUGCUUUUGUGGGUUGCUCGAUUGGCGAACGGGUGAGUAACACGUGAGUAACCUGCCCUUGACUUUGUGAUAACUUCAGGAAACUGGGGCUCUUACCGGAUAUGAGCUCCUGCUCCAUGUUGGUGAUUGGAAAGUUUCGGCGGUUGGGGCUGGACUCGCGGGUUAUCGGCUUGUUGGUGUGGUAGUGGCGUACGAAGGUUUUGACGGGUAGCCGGCCUGGGAGGGUGGACGGCCACAAUGGGACUGAGAGACGGAGCAGUCUGCUACCGGACGCAGAAGUGGGGAGUAUUGCAGAGCGGGCGGGAGCGUGAGACAGAAGCGCCGCGAGCGGGAUGAUGGCCUACGGGUUGUAAACAGAUGUGGAAUGUGACGAACAGUGCGUGACGGUACUGGGUCAGGAAGCAACGGCUAACUACGUG
rnacentral:rRNA from 1 species